GGCCGAGGCUGGAGCUGAC
rnacentral:snRNA from 1 species